GCGCAGCCUGAUGCAGCCAUGCCGCGUGUGUGAAGAAGGCCUUCGGGUUGUAAAGCACUUUCAGUCAGGAGGAAAGGUUAGUAGUUAAUACCUGCUAGCUGUGACGUUACUGACAGAAGAAGCACCGGCUAACUCCGUGCCAGCAGCCGCGGUAAUACGGAGGGUGCGAGCGUUAAUCGGAAUUACUGGGCGUAAAGCGUACGCAGGCGGUUUGUUAAGCGAGAUGUGAAAGCCCCGGGCUCAACCUGGGAACUGCAUUUCGAACUGGCAAACUAGAGUGUGAUAGAGGGUGGUAGAAUUUCAGGUGUAGCGGUGAAAUGCGUAGAGAUCUGAAGGAAUACCGAUGGCGAAGGCAGCCACCUGGGUCAACACUGACGCUCAUGUACGAAAGCGUGGGGAGCAAACGGGAUUAGAUACCCCGGUAGUCCACGCCGUAAACGAUGUCUACUAGAAGCUCGGAGCCUCGGUUCUGUUUUUCAAAGCUAACGCAUUAAGUAGACCGCCUGGGGAGUACGGCCGCAAGGUUAAAACUCAA
rnacentral:rRNA from 1 species